GUAGCCUAGUGGUAAAGCUUCCGCCUCGUAAGCGGUAGAUCGGGGAUCAAAUCCCGGC
rnacentral:tRNA from 1 species